AGCGAACGCUGGCGGCAGGCUUAACACAUGCAAGUCGAGCGGACCUUUCGGGGUCAGCGGCGGACGGGUGAGUAACGCGUGGGAACGUGCCUUCCGGUUCGGAAUAACCCUGGGAAACUAGGGCUAAUACCGGAUACGCCCUUAUGGGGAAAGGUUUACUGCCGGAAGAUCGGCCCGCGUCUGAUUAGCUAGUUGGUGGGGUAACGGCCUACCAAGGCGACGAUCAGUAGCUGGUCUGAGAGGAUGAUCAGCCACACUGGGACUGAGACACGGCCCAGACUCCUACGGGAGGCAGCAGUGGGGAAUAUUGGACAAUGGGCGCAAGCCUGAUCCAGCCAUGCCGCGUGAGUGAUGAAAGCCUUAGGGUUGUAAAGCUCUUUUAUCCGGGACGAUAAUGACGGUACCGGAGGAAUAAGCCCCGGCUAACUUCGUG
rnacentral:rRNA from 1 species